AACGAACGCUGGCGGCAUGCCUAACACAUGCAAGUCGAACGAACCCUUCGGGGUUAGUGGCGCACGGGUGCGUAACGCGUGGGAAUCUGCCCUUUGCUUCGGAAUAACUCAGGGAAACUUGUGCUAAUACCGGAUGAUGUCUUCGGACCAAAGAUUUAUCGGCAAGGGAUGAGCCCGCGUAGGAUUAGGUAGUUGGUGGGGUAAAGGCCUACUAAGCCGACGAUCCUUAGCUGGUCUGAGAGGAUGAUCAGCCACACUGGGACUGAGACACGGCCCAGACUCCUACGGGAGGCAGCAGUGGGGAAUAUUGGACAAUGGGCGCAAGCCUGAUCCAGCAAUGCCGCGUGAGUGAUGAAGGCCCUCGGGUCGUAAAGCUCUUUUACCAGGGAUGAUAAUGACAGUACCUGGAGAAUAAGCUCCGGCUAACUCCGUG
rnacentral:rRNA from 1 species